UACGUAGGUGGCAAGCGUUAUCCGGAAUUAUUGGGCGUAAAGAGCGCGCAGGUGGUUGAUUAAGUCUGAUGUGAAAGCCCACGGCUUAACCGUGGAGGGUCAUUGGAAACUGGUCGACUUGAGUGCAGAAGAGGGAAGUGGAAUUCCAUGUGUAGCGGUGAAAUGCGUAGAGAUAUGGAGGAACACCGGCGGCGAAGGCGGCUUGCUGGACGGCAACUGACGUUGAGGCUCGAAAGCGUGGGGAGCAAACAGGAUUAGAUACCCCGGUA
rnacentral:rRNA from 1 species